GAUGAACGCUAGCGGCAGGCCUAAUACAUGCAAGUCGAACGAGAUUAAGAGGCUUGCUUCUUAUGAAAGUGGCGCACGGGUGCGUAACGCGUAUGCAACCUACCUUAAUCAGGGGGAUAGCCCGAAGAAAUUCGGAUUAAGACCGCAUAAAAACACAGGAUAGCAUUAUCCAAUGUUCAAAUAUUUAUAGGAUUAAGAUGGGCAUGCGUGUCAUUAGCUAGUUGGCGGGGUAACGGCCCACCAAGGCGACGAUGACUAGGGGAUCUGAGAGGAUGACCCCCCACACUGGUACUGAGACACGGACCAGACUCCUACGGGAGGCAGCAGUAAGGAAUAUUGGUCAAUGGAGGGAACUCUGAACCAGCCAUGCCGCGUGCAGGAAGACAGCCCUCUGGGUCGUAAACUGCUUUUAUUCGGGAAUAAACCUUUAUACGUGUAGGAAGCUGAAUGUACCGAAGGAAUAAGGAUCGGCUAACUCCGUG
rnacentral:rRNA from 1 species